rnacentral:rRNA from 1 species
AAUACAUGCAAGUCGAGCGGACCGACGGGAGCUUGCUCCCUUAGUCAGCGGCGGACGGGUGAGUAACACGUGGGUAACCUGCCUGUAAGACUGGGAUAACUCCGGGAAACCGGGGCUAAUACCGGAUGCUUGAUUGAACCGCAUGGUUCCAAUCAUAAAAGGUGGCUUUUAGCUACCACUUACAGAUGGACCCGCGGCGCAUUAGCUAGUUGGUGAGGUAACGGCUCACCAAGGCGACGAUGCGUAGCCGACCUGAGAGGGUGAUCGGCCACACUGGGACUGAGACACGGCCCAGACUCCUACGGGAGGCAGCAGUAGGGAAUCUUCCGCAAUGGACGAAAGUCUGACGGAGCAACGCCGCGUGAGUGAUGAAGGUUUUCGGAUCGUAAAACUCUGUUGUUAGGGAAGAACAAGUACCGUUCGAAUAGGGCGGCACCUUGACGGUACCUAACCAGAAAGCCACGGCUAACUACGUGCCAGCAGCCGCGGUAAUACGUAGGUGGCAAGCGUUGUCCGGAAUUAUUGGGCGUAAAGCGCGCGCAGGCGGUUUCUUAAGUCUGAUGUGAAAGCCCCCGGCUCAACCGGGGAGGGUCAUUGGAAACUGGGGAACUUGAGUGCAGAAGAGGAGAGUGGAAUUCCACGUGUAGCGGUGAAAUGCGUAGAGAUGUGGAGGAACACCAGUGGCGAAGGCGACUCUCUGGUCUGUAACUGACGCUGAGG